GACAGAGGGUGCAAGCGUUGUUCGGAAUUAUUGGGCGUAAAGCGCGCGUAGGCGGCUUGGCAAGUCGAAUGUGAAAGCCCAGGGCUUAACCCUGGAAGUGCAUUCGAAACUGCCUCGCUUGAGUUCUGGAGAGGGUGGUGGAAUUCCCAGUGUAGAGGUGAAAUUCGUAGAUAUUGGGAGGAACACCGGUGGCGAAGGCGACCACCUGGACAGUGACUGACGCUGAGGCGCGAGAGCGCGGGGAUCAAACAGG
rnacentral:rRNA from 1 species